rnacentral:lncRNA from 1 species
CCAUAGCAGAAGCACACAUAUUUCUCAGAUUUCUCAUUAAAAGUGCUAAAUGGAUGUUGGAAAGAGGAUUGGAUAAAAGCUACUGGAGACCAGGAGAGGAAGAAAAUGAGGAACGAUUUUAGCUACAAAUGACAUGACAGUUUUUUAAGAAGAGGGAAUGAAAGGCCUUUAUGUGUGCAAACCCCAUUUGCAAUUUAAGAAGAUGCUGUGCCUGCAACUAGGAUUAUGCAGAAAGAUAUAUCACUGACAUUAGUGUUAAAAUUCUUAAACUCACUGUAAUUUUCAGGGACAGGUGGUUUAUAACAUCUGAAUGCUUGCUUUCUGUCUUGAGCACUAAGUCCUUGAUGGCCUGAGUUUGUGACAAGAGUUCUGCUUAGAGCUGAGUCUGGACUUGGGGGGGCUGUGGCAGCCUGGGGCCUUUCCUGGGUCUGCUUUUGGAAGAGAUUUAAAAGAGCAAUACACGUGCUCAAGCUUUUGUGGAGUAUAAAGUUGUUGGAAUAAUUUCCACAGCUGGGAUAUUCCAGUAAGAGUUUUGUGAGACACUCAGCUAAGGAAAAAAUCCCUUUCACUCAUCAUAAAAAUAAUAACCUAAUGUAAUAUUAAAAACAAUUCAGUUAAAUAUUUAAGGCUGAAGAGAAAGUCACUUAAUUUUCAGCCUAGCGCAUCUAAUAGUGGGGGCAGCAUACUCAUAUCAUCCUUACUUAGGAAGGUGGCAGGAGCUCCCUGGGGGAUCAGGGCUCAGGUGGGACAUCAGCCCAGCCUGCAGGGGGUGGGCAGGGGGGGGGAGUUUUUGGCCACACCUGCAGGCUAGCCCUGAAAAGGAGCUGCAAAGCCCAGCCUGAGAGGCUAUGAAGCUGAAGGAGUAAGAGAGGGGUGGUGGUGCUAGCCGCUGCUGCUGCCUGGGUGGAGUAGCUGAAAAACAGUGUGCAAGAAGGAAGAGAAGAAGUUCAAGCCCCAGGGUGCAAGAUAGGCUAAAAAUCUGCACGGUUUCAAAAAGUGACUGGAAGAAAAAAUCCACUGAAGAAAAUCCUCGGAGGAAAAAAAUCUGUCACAUAGAAAGAUUCCUCCUCAGUUUGAGGAAAUCCUUGAACCACAAAUAGCUGCAGGCUGGGAAGUCAUCCUGGAAGGUAUUCUUGGAACUACUGUUGUGUUCUUGCCCUUUUCUUGUGUUCUCUAAAUAUUGGCUGUGGGCAAUGUUGGAGGACACCGGACUGUGUGCAUGUUCAGUUUGAACUGGUCCAGCCGUUCGCUCCUGUUUCUAUGUUAUUUCUUUGUGUGUUUUCAUAAAAAAUCCUGAGAGACUCUUAGCUGUGUUUUUUUUUGUUUGUUUUUUUAAUUCCCACUCAGUCCCUUUCCUGCAUCAAACUGGGAAACUGGGAGGGAGAUGUGAGAGAAUCCCAGUGUGGUGAAGCUGUAAGAAGGCAGCUGG